GGAUCAUGAAGACACUGAAAAGCAGAUGCUGAGGAAGUUAACUAAACAGCUGAAUAGUGAGGAUUGGACGUGGAACAACCUAAAUACCUUGUGAUGGGCAAUAGGAUCUAUAUCAAGAUCAAUGAUGGAGGAACAGGAAAACAGAUUUCUUGUGAUGGUGAUACGUGAUUUGUUAAACCUUUAUGAGAUUACAAAAGGCAAAGACAACAAAGCAGUUAUUGCAAGUAAUAUAAUGUGAGAUGUUAAACUACAUUUUCAU